rnacentral:lncRNA from 1 species
UGGCGUGUAAUGUAAUAUGAGAAAAGUGUGUUAUGAGAAGAAUCUCAAGGAUAAAUUAUAUAUUAUAGCAAGUUGAAAGAGAAUGCUUGAUAGAGAGACAAUGGUACCCAGGUAUCUUGAUAUUCUACCAACCAUUUAACUCAUGUAGAGUUGAAUGAGGUGGUAGAGAGAAUGGCAUGAGAUCUUCACGCAAACCCUCUGGGUUUUAGGAGUAGAAGAUCUACCUCAUGGUGAGUAGGUCGAGUUACCCUUGUUUAUAACUCUUAGACUAUAAAUACUACCAUGAGUGCAUGCCUACAGUAGUUUAUAUCAGCAUUAUAUCUGGAUGAGUGAGUAUAGUGGUCUUGUGGUUGUAUGAAUUAUUUGUUCUUGAAUGUUGUUAAUUGUUAAAGCAAAUUAUUAUCUGAUGUUUUUCUUGUGUCUAGCUUACUCUUGUUUUU